CGGACGGGUGAGUAAUGUCUGGGAAACUGCCUGAUGGAGGGGGAUAACUACUGGAAAUGGUAGCUAAUACCGCAUAACGUCGCAAGACCAAAGAGGGGGACCUUCGGGCCUCUUGCCAUCGGAUGUGCCCAGAUGGGAUUAGCUUGUUGGUGGGGUAACGGCUCACCAAGGCGACGAUCCCUAGCUGGUCUGAGAGGAUGACCAGCCACACUGGAACUGAGACACGGUCCAGACUCCUACGGAAGGCAGCAG
rnacentral:rRNA from 1 species